ensembl:lncRNA
AUAAAGCCUCUGACGAAACACCCGGGCCAAGUAGACAGAGUAGGCCUACACGGCGUAUUUCAGAAGACACCUCCGAAUCAUCAGGUGAUGAAUUCAGCGAACCUGACCCGGAUUCGUCGGAUGAGUGGUUGCCGUCAACCGGGAACAGCAGAGCCUCAUCCCCUGACGCGUCUCCAGGAAGACGUGAGGGAGAUCGUGCGUCCAGCAGAGCUCGCACUCCCACUCCCCUUCCCCCUCCCACUGCUCCCAAUCCUGUUGGCAAAGCGAAGAAAGGUCGUGCAUCCAGCAGAGCUCCGACUCCUAUUGGCAAAGCGAAGAAGAAAGGUCGUGCAUCAAGCAGAGGUUGCGGGGAUGACUGGCAUCAAGCUGGCUGGCAACCAAACAAUUUCCCCUUCACUGCAACCCCUGGACCCCGGAGGGCUGCUGCGGAGCUGGAUAGCGACCUGCCAGCUGACUUCCUGA